CUCCCUGAGUGGGAGGCUCAUUGAAGGGCUGGCUGCCUGCAGGGAAGGAGCUCUGCUUUUUUGUGUGCCCUGUUCCUCAGAAUGGCUUGCCACGCCUCUGGCCUUGGCCCCCACAGAAGCCCCUCCUGGUUGUCAGUGGCAGCUGUUACCUGUGCAGUGCCAGCAGUCUGUAGAAAUGGCAGCACUUGGGAGGAUGACACAGUUUGCCUGAUGUUAUGCUUUAUGGAUGCGGUCAGGUGAGAAAGCGCUGUGCUUCGUGGCACAAAUUCCUUGGCCAAAGGAUGCUUUGGAGCAGAGGUUUGCUGUCAGGAGGCCUGAAAGCAUCGAAGGAAAUGCUGCUGUGCACUGGGCCCAGAGACAUCAGCUCCCAGCACGUCAGGCAUGGGCACAGAUGACAACACACUGAUGGUGUCCUGCUCGGAAAUGGAUGCGCUGGAUGGCAGAGGAGGAUUCUGAGCCAAGUAUGG